rnacentral:rRNA from 1 species
GCUCCCUUCGGGGAGUGCAUAAAGUGGCGCACGGGUGAGUAACACGUAAGUAAUCUACCCUCGAGUGGGGAAUAACGUCCGGAAACGGGCGCUAAUACCGCAUAAUGCAGCGGCACCGCAAGGUGACAGUUGUUAAAGAUUUAUCGCUUGAGGAGGAGCUUGCGGCAGAUUAGCUAGUUGGUAAGGUAAUGGCUUACCAAGGCUACGAUCUGUAUCCGGUCUAAGAGGACGGUCGGACACACUGACACUGAAUAACGGGUCAGACUCCUACGGGAGGCAGCAGUCGGGAAUUUUGGGCAAUGGGGGAAACCCUGACCCAGCAACGCCGCGUGAAGGAUGAAGUAUUUCGGUAUGUAAACUUCGAAAGAAUGGGAAGAAUAAUUGACGGUACCAUUUAUAAUCUCCGGCUAACUACGUGCCAGCAUCCGCGGUAA